GAUGAACGCUGGCGGCGUGCUUAACACAUGCAAGUCGAACGGAAAGGCCCAAGCUUGCUUGGGUACUCGAGUGGCGAACGGGUGAGUAACACGUGGGUGAUCUGCCCUGCACUUCGGGAUAAGCCUGGGAAACUGGGUCUAAUACCGGAUAGGACCACAUUUUGGAUGGUGUGGUGGAAAGUUUUUCGGUGUGGGAUGAGCUCGCGGCCUAUCAGCUUGUUGGUGGGGUAAUGGCCUACCAAGGCGUCGACGGGUAGCCGGCCUGAGAGGGUGUACGGCCACAUUGGGACUGAGAUACGGCCCAGACUCCUACGGGAGGCAGCAGUGGGGAAUAUUGCACAAUGGGCGCAAGCCUGAUGCAGCGACGCCGUGUGGGGGAUGACGGCCUUCGGGUUGUAAACUCCUUUCGCUAGGGACGAAGCGCAAGUGACGGUACCUGGAGAAGAAGCACCGGCUAACUACGUG
rnacentral:rRNA from 1 species